rnacentral:rRNA from 1 species
CCUACGGGAGGCUGCAGUGGGGAAUAUUGCACAAUGGGCGCAAGCCUGAUGUAGCCAUGCCGCGUGUGUGAAGAAGGCCUUCGGGUUGUAAAGCACUUUCAGCGGGGAGGAAGGCGUUAAGGUUAAUAACCUUGUCGAUUGACGUUACCCGCAGAAGAAGCACCGGCUAACUCCGUGCCAGCAGCCGCGGUAAUACGGAGGGUGCAAGCGUUAAUCGGAAUUACUGGGCGUAAAGCGCACGCAGGCGGUCUGUCAAGUCGGAUGUGAAAUCCCCGGGCUCAACCUGGGAACUGCAUUCGAAACUGGCAGGCUAGAGUCUUGUAGAGGGGGGUAGAAUUCCAGGUGUAGCGGUGAAAUGCGUAGAGAUCUGGAGGAAUACCGGUGGCGAAGGCGGCCCCCUGGACAAAGACUGACGCUCAGGUGCGAAAGCGUGGGGAGCAAAUAGGAUUAGAUACCCGGGUAGUC